AAAUGGGUUACUAGUUCACUUCACCUAAAUUAGAUUAAAUUUCGUGUGUUUUGGUCUCUAGAACUUCAAAUUAUGAAAAUUUGGAUAAAAAAUUGUUAAUUUCUUUCGCAUUUUCUAACCUUUUUAGGUCGAUCAAACAAAUAAAAAAAACCAAAUGUAUAUAUUUCGCUUUGGUUCCCUUCUUUAGCUAAUUUGGUUAUUUUGGUUUGGUUUGAACCGACUGAAUGCUCAGCCCUACUUCCUAGGAAAUGCCAUUUCUUGAGCUUAUUUCCUGUAAGCAAACCAGGCCUAGAUUGUAUGGCAUGAUUUCUUUGGUUUUCAAGCUUGCUUCUACAUGAUUUCUGAUUUUUUUUCAUCUUUUCAUGGUAGAGGGUGGCAGAAGAGUAGUUGAGAUUAUUAUUUAUUGUAGCCUUCAUGUCAUUGAAAUUUUGGGUGUUGGUAAUUUUUGCUGAGGCAAGUUGACCUUCAUAAGCUUAAAUACAAAUUGGGUGUCAUAUGUGAAUGAGAA
rnacentral:misc_RNA from 1 species